rnacentral:tRNA from 1 species
UCCCCAGUAGCUCAAUGGUAGAGCAGGCGACUCAUAAUCGCUAGGUUGCUGGUUCGAGUCCAGCUUCGGGGAA